rnacentral:rRNA from 1 species
CACGUAGGAGGCGAGCGUUGUCCGGAAUCAUUGGGCGUAAAGAGCGUGUAGGCGGCUUGGUAGGUCAGCUGUGAAAACUCGAGGCUCAACCUCGAGACGUCGGUUGAAACCACCUGGCUAGAGUCCGGAAGAGGAGUGUGGAAUUCCCGGUGUAGCGGUGAAAUGCGCAGAUAUCGGGAAGAACACCCGUGGCGAAGGCGGCACUCUGGGACGGUACUGACGCUGAGACGCGAAAGCGUGGGGAGCGAACAGG